CCAAGGAUGGAUCUGCCUCAACGUGGCGCUAUGGUCUAGUACCAGAAGAGAAAUAGGCUGGGAAGCCAAAUGUUCC
rnacentral:ribozyme from 1 species